rnacentral:rRNA from 1 species
GUAAGCUAGUAAGAUCCCUGAAAGAUGAUCAGGUUGAUAGGUUUGAGGUGGAAGCGUGGUGACACGUGGAGCUGACAAAUACUAAUAGAUCGAGGACUUAACUAAA